CGUCAAAUUUUGUAUACCCUUCCAAGGUUUUUGUUACUCUUUCCCUACCUAUAGCCGUCAAAAUGGAAAACGUAAUUUGCUGGUCCUUUCAAGAAGUUAGAAAUUUAUCUUUAUCAACAGCCAAGCCGACGGACAGGGUCCGUCCGUAUAAACACCAAGAUCACGAACACUGUUUGUAGAUGCAGAAUGUAAGAUGAAUUUUUCUUCACUUGGUGCAUGAUAUACUGAAAUCGGCAAGACGACUUUCUUCGUCUAUUUAAAUUUGUACAGUGUACAAUGUACACUUCCUUAAUAAAAAUUUGGGCUACCUCAUUAUAUAUAAUAUCUCUCAACGCACCUCUUUAGAUUAUUUUUGCACUUGAAUUAGUUGGGAACUAAGAAUCCGUCACAAUGGAUCACUCAAUAAGUUCUUGGUUAAUCAUACCUGUCGGUGGCAA